ensembl:snRNA U6 U6 spliceosomal RNA
AUGCUUUGGCAGCACAUAUACUAAAAUUGGAACGAUGCAGAGAAGAUUAGCAUGGCCCCUGUGCAAGGAUGACACACAAAUUCAUGAAGCGUUCUGUAUUUUU